AAGUAUGAAGCGAUUAAUUGCGAUUAGUUUCGACCUAAUUUUAAGUAUAUUUUAUACUCUUACUUU
rnacentral:tRNA from 1 species